rnacentral:rRNA from 1 species
UACCAGCACCCCGAGUGGUCGGGACGAUUAUUGGGCCUAAAGCAUCCGUAGCCGGUUUUACAAGUCCUCCGUUAAAUCCAGCUGCUUAACAGAUGGGCUGCGGAGGGUACUAUAAGACUAGGAGGCAGGAGAGGCAAGCGGUACUCAGUGGGUAGGGGUAAAAUCCGUUGAUCCAUUGAAGACCACCAGUGGCGAAGGCGGCUUGCCAGAAUGCGCUCGACGGUGAGGGAUGAAAGCUGGGGGAGCAAACCGG